UGGGGAAUAUUCACAAUGGGGCAAGCCUGAUGCAGCAACGCCGCGUGAGGGAUGACGGCCUUCGGGUUGUAAACCUCUUUUAGCAGGGAAGAAGCGAAAGUGACGGUACCUGCAGAAAAAGCGCCGGCUAACUACGUGCCAGCAGCCGCGGUAAUACGUAGGGCGCAAGCGUUAUCCGGAAUUAUUGGGCGUAAAGAGCUCGUAGGCGGUUUGUCGCGUCUGCUGUGAAAUCCGGAGGCUCAACCUCCGGCCUGCAGUGGGUACGGGCAGACUAGAGUGCGGUAGGGGAGAUUGGAAUUCCUGGUGUAGCGGUGGAAUGCGCAGAUAUCAGGAGGAACACCGAUGGCGAAGGCAGAUCUCUGGGCCGUAACUGACGCUGAGGAGCGAAAGGGUGGGGAGCAAACAGGCUUAGAUACCCUGGUAGUCCACCCCGUAAACGUUGGGAACUAGUUGUGGGGUCCAUUCCACGGAUUCCGUGACGCAGCUAACGCAUUAAGUUCCCCGCCUGGGGAGUACGGCCGCAAGGCUAAAACUCAAAGGAAUUGACGGGGACCCGCACAAGCGGCGGAGCAUGCGGAUUAAUUCGAUGCAACGCGAAGAACCUUACCAAGGCUUGACAUAUACGAGAACGGGCCAGAAAUGGUCAACUCUUUGGACACUCGUAAACAGGUGUGCAUGGUUGUCGUCAGCUCGUGUCCGUGAGAUUUGGGUUAAGUCCCGCAACGAGCGCAACCCUCGUUCUAUGUUGCCAGCACGUAAUGGUGGGAACUCAUGGGAUACUGCCGGGGUCAACUCGGAGGAAGGUGGGGAUGACGUCAAAUCAUCAUGCCCCUUAUGUCUUGGGCUUCACGCAUGCUACAAUGGCCGGUACAAAGGGCUGCAAUACCGCGAGGUGGAGCGAAUCCCAAAAAGCCGGUCCCAGUUCGGAUUGAGGUCUGCAACUCGACCUCAUGAAGUCGGAGUCGCUAGUAAUCGCAGAUCAGCAACGCUGCGGUGAAUACGUUCCCGGGUCUUGUACACACCGCCCGUCAAGUCAUGAAAGUCGGUAACACCUGAAGCCGGUGGCCUAACCCUUGUGGAGGGAGCCGUCGAAGGUGGGAUCGGUAAUUAGGACUAAGUCGUAACAAGGUA
rnacentral:rRNA from 1 species